rnacentral:tRNA from 1 species
GCGGCAGUAGCUCAGUUGGUAGAGCAAUCGGCUGUUAACCGAUCGGUCGCAGGUUCGAGUCCUGCCUGUGGAGCCA